CCUACGGGUGGCAGCAGUGGGGGAUAUUGCACAAUGGGGGAAACCCUGAUGCAGCGACGCCGCGUGUGGGAAGACGGUCUUCUGGAUUGUAAACCACUGUCCCCAGGGACGAAAAUGACGGUACCUGGGGAGGAAGCUCCGGCUAACUACGUGCCAGCAGCCGCGGUAAUACGUAGGGAGCAAGCGUUGUCCGGAAUUACUGGGUGAAAAGGGAGCGUAGGCGGGGAUGCAAGUUGGGUGUAAAAACUACCGGCUCAACCGAUAGUCGCACUCAAAACUGCAACUCUUGAGUGAAGUAGAGGCAGGCGGAAUUCCUAGUGUAGCGGUGAAAUGCGUAGAUAUUAGGAGGAACACCAGUGGCGAAGGCGGCCUGCUGGGCUUUUACUGACGCUGAGGCUCGAAAGUGUGGGGAGCAAACAGGAUUAGAUACCCCAGUAGUC
rnacentral:rRNA from 1 species